rnacentral:rRNA from 1 species
UACGUAGGGGGCAAGCGUUGUCCGGAUUUAUUGGGCGUAAAGAGCGUGUAGGCGGCCAGGCAGGUCCGCUGUGAAAACUCGAGGCUCAACCUCGAGAGGUCGGUGGAAACCGUCUGGCUAGAGUCCGGAAGAGGAGAGUGGAAUUCCCGGUGUAGCGGUGAAAUGCGCAGAUAUCGAGAGGAACACCUGCGGCGAAGGCGGGUUGCUGGGCCGACACUGACGCUGAUGCGCGAAAGCCAGGGGAGCGAACGGG